UCUGUGUCUACUGUCCACCAAAUAAUAG
rnacentral:sRNA from 1 species